rnacentral:rRNA from 1 species
CCUACGGGAGGCAGCAGUAUUUACUUUUUCUCCCUUUUCUCCCUCCUGCCGCCGCCCCGCCGCGUGAUCGAGACGCCCUUCGGGGUGUAAAGAUCUGUCAGUGGGGACGAAACUUGACGGUACCCACAGAGGAAGCACCGGCUAACUCCGUGCCAGCAGCCGCGGUAAUACGGGGGGUGCAAGCGUUGUCCGGAAUCAUUGGGCGUAAAGAGUUCGUAGGCGGCACGUAAAGUCUGGUGUUAAAGGCAGAGGCUCAACUUCUGUACGGCACUGGAUACUUGCGAGCUAGAAUGCGGUAGAGGUAAAGGGAAUUCCUGGUGUAGCGGUGAAAUGCUUAGAUAUCAGGAGGAACAUCGGUGGCGUAAGCGCUUUACUGGGCCGUAAUUGACGCUGAGGAACGAAAGCCAGGGUAGCAAAUGGGAUUAGAUACCCCUGUAGUC